rnacentral:lncRNA from 1 species
CAUUUUCCUUAGCUGUAGAUGUAGAUAAUGGCAAUAUAAGUUGUAAGGAAAGAGAUAAGGUGUGAAAAAUACAUAGCAUAGUGUCAGGCUCAUAGUUAAUGAUCAGGUAUGAUGUCAGUAUUAAUAAUGAUGAUAGUUAUAAUGGCACUGUUGUUAUUUUAUUAUAGAAACUCCUGAGUGUCAUGGAGGAAUAAAAGACCAAACUCAAAAUCAGAAAGGAAACCUGUUUGAAUGAAGAUUUAGCUGAUUCCAUGUGACCCUGGCAAGUCACUUUACCUUGGAGCUUUCUUCUCCUUAUCUGGAAAUUGGGAGUAACAACAGCUACUACUUCAUUCACAUCCCGAGUCCUCAAUAAGGACCUGGCUCUAGGCCUCAGCCCCGUGGGCCCUACCAAGGGAGCAGCAUGCGACACCCCUGGGCCAGCCUAGUGUCCUCUGGCCUGCUGCCCAGCCCCCAAAGGAGGCCCUGACGCCCUGGGGCACUUCUGCUCUGUGCAGGACCAAGUGGGGGUUUGCCAUGGUGACAUAAAGGGGCGCAGAGGAAGGAAGGAGCGAGACCAGCCUCUAGACUGCGCC